GUCCUACGGGGCGCAGCAGUCGGGAAUAUUGCGCAAUGGAGGAAACUCUGACGCAGUGACGCCGCGUGCAGGAAGAAGGUUUUCGGAUUGUAAACUGCUUUAGACAGGGAAGAAACAAGACAGUACCUGUAGAAUAAGCUCCGGCUAACUACGUGCCAGCAGCCGCGGUAAUACGUAGGGAGCAAGCGUUAUCCGGAUUUAUUGGGUGUAAAGGGUGCGUAGACGGGAAAACAAGUUGGUUGUGAAAUCCCUCGGCUUAACUGAGGAACUGCAACCAAAACAAUUUUUCUUGAGUGCUGGAGAGG
rnacentral:rRNA from 1 species